rnacentral:tRNA from 1 species
UUGGGAGUCGCCAAGUGGUAAGGCACCGGAUUUUGAUUCCGGCAUUCGUAGGUUCGAUCCCUACCUCCCCAGCCA